rnacentral:pre_miRNA from 1 species
UUCAAGCCUCGCUGUGCGGCUGCAGGGCUUAACUCACAUGUGAACAGUGAGUCCCUGCCAUGUUCACAGUGGUUAAGUUCUGCCGCCACAUGGCUGCAGACUGCA